ensembl:lncRNA
UAGUUUCGUUUGCUUUAUCUUAUGAUAUCUAUAAAACGAUAUUAUUAAUGAUAUGAUGGCUGAGGACAUUUCAUGGUUAGAAACACUUUUUUGUUCUUGCCUUUUGGGUAUACUCUGGUGGGAAUAUAUAUAAUCAAGUCACUCUGCUUAAAAGUAAUUUGAAAUAAUUCCUCUGUAAACACUUCCACCAUCAAUUUAAUGGUACUUUGCUUCAUUUUGCUUUCAAGUUCUAGGGAUUACUUAAAAUUCAAUUUUGCUUUUAAUAAUUAUAUGGAACAUUUACAUUAUCCCAUAGCCCAGUCUAAAAAAAGGACACUGGAGUCAGUCAAGCUUCUCUACCUGAUUUCUCCACACAAAUCUCUCCUUCUCUCAUGAGAAAUUUUAUUUCUUUAAAGAGAUGUAUUUUUACUUAUACAUAUGUGUGUGUCAUCCAUGCACAGGUAUCCAAGAGUCUAGGUGAGAGUCUGUUGGAUCCCCUGGAACGGAAGUUACUGAUAGUUGUGAGCCGCCAUGUGGAUGCUGGGAAUCAAACUAGGGACCUCUGAAAGAGCAGCAAGAACUCUAUCACUGAGCCAUCUCUCCAGCCCCAAAUAAGAACUGUCUACCCUGUGCUGUGAGGACAGGAACUCUUAUUGGAGCUCAUCAAAUAGUCUGCAGGGUCCCGAGUGGCCUUUCUGCCUCUGUCCUGUCCUCUCAGUGAUGGCAGCCUUGAAACUGUCUUCUGAGUUAUGGCAGCUACGCCCACAGGACUGGGUGACCCAGUGGGCUGCCAAGGCACUAGACUCCCAGGGUCUUCUUCCAGCUACCGUUUUGUAAAUGCUUGUAUGCAUUUAUCAAACACUUCUAUGUAGAGUUCGCCCUGUACCAGACACCAUGUGAAGUAUUAUAAUAUCCAAAUCUGCCUACAACCACCGGAUAAAUGGUUAGAGUCCCCAUUCUACAAACGGAGAAACCGAGACACCACGAGGUUGUGAAGGACCGGAGCGGGGAUUCAAACCCAGGAGGUCUGGCUCUCCUACCUCUCCUCGCUCUCCUCGCCUCAAGUUAUUUGAUUAAACCCGUUUUUCCUCAACCACAGUGUGAACCUGUGAAGCUUGCUAUGCUGUUUUCUAUCCUCAGGGGCAGGCUCAGUGUCUGGCGCACACUGGGUGCUUUACGGGUAUUUGCAGGGACGAACAAACAGUAGACAACAGCCACCGAUUGCUGUAGUACCUUCUCCUUGCAGGGUUCCAGGACUCGAUACAGCUUGGUUCUUUCUUGAGGGGGGUGUGUGCGUG